rnacentral:rRNA from 1 species
CAGCCGCCGCGGUAAUACCAGCCCCGCGAGUGAUCCGGACGCUUACUGGGCUUAAAGCGCCCGUAGCCGGCCCCACAAGUCACCCCUUAAAGGCCCCGGCUCAACCGGGGAAAUGGGGGUGAUACUGUGGGGCUAGGGGGCGAGAGAGGCCGGCGGUACUCCCGGAGUAGGGGCGAAAUCCGUAGAUCCCGGAAGACCAACAGUGGCGAAGGCGUUUGGCCAGAACGCGCCCGACGGUGAGGGGCGAAAGCCGGGGCAGCAAAAGGGAUUAGAUACCCCUGUAGUCCCGGCCGUAAACGAUGCAGGCUAGGUGUCGCGUGGGCUUAGGGCCCACGCGGUGCCGCAGGGAAACCGGUAAGCUUGCCGCCUGGGGAGUACGGCCGCAAGGCUGAAACUUAAAGGAAUUGGCGGGGGAGCAC